AUUGAACGCUGGCGGCAGGCCUAACACAUGCAAGUCGAACGAGUGGCGGACGGGUGAGUAAUGUCUGGGACACUGCCCGAUGGCGGGGGAUAACUACUGGAAACGGUAGCUAAUACCGCAUACCAUCAGAUGGGCCCAGAUGGGAUUAGCUUGUUGGUGGGGUAAAGGCUCACCGAGGCGACGAGCCCUAGCUGGUCUGAGAGGAUGACCAGCCACAAUGGAACUGAGACACGGUCCAGACUCCUACGGGAGGCAGCAGGGGGGAAUAUUGAACAAUGGGCGAAAGCCUGAUGCAGCCAUGCCGCGUGUAUGAAGAAGGCCUUCGGGUUGUAAAGUACUUUAAGCGGGGAGGCGUGACCCGCAGAAGAAGCACCGGCUAACUCCGUGCCAGCAGCCGCGGUAAUAC
rnacentral:rRNA from 1 species